AAAAACUUUCUCCUACAACUAAGAUAUACGCAAAAUAUACCUUACGUAUAUUAGACCAAAUUAACGGAAUACACGACUCUGAUAUAGCUAAUCACUGGUACAGUGCAUCAAAUAGUUUAUGGGGUUGGCAAAGAUUUGCGCCUAUAAGUUAUUUUUAUAAGAAAUCGGCUGGUUUUCUGGUGAACAACAGCUGCAUUGUGGAAGCAGAGGUUACAGUCAAUGGCAUGGCUAAUGAACUUUGAGAACGCACUUCUACAUUGAAGUAAAGGAUGCUGCUUAAUGAAUAUUUUCCUUUUUGAUGAAAUAAAAAGGGAAAUUGGUAGUCACACUGCAAUAGAUCUUCAGUAUAAUUGUUGUGUGACAUGCUAAUUUACCACUACGUUAUGUAAUAAAAGUUUUGAAAUAAGAAAGUACAAGAUAUGGUCAUAGCCCUCAUUUUAUGA